rnacentral:rRNA from 1 species
GUGUCAGCCGCCGCGGUAAUACAGAGGGUGCGAGCGUUAAUCGGAAUUACUGGGCGUAAAGCGCACGUAGUCGGCUUGCCAAGUCGGGUGUGAAAUCCCCGGGCUCAACCUGGGAACUGCAUCCGAAACUGGCUUGCUAGAGUAUGGGAGAGGGAGGCGGAAUUUCUGGUGUAGCAGUGAAAUGCGUAGAUAUCAGAAGGAACAUCAGUGGCGAAGGCGGCCUCCUGGACCAAUACUGACGAUCAGGUGCGAAAGCGUGGGGAGCAAACAGGAUUAGAAACCCCUGUAGUCC